ACCUCCUUACCUAACGAU
rnacentral:rRNA from 1 species